UACGAAGGGGCUAGCGUUGUUUCGGAAUUACUGGGCGUAAAGCGUGCGCAGGCGGCCAUCCAAGUCAGGGGUGAAAUCCUGGAGCUCAACUCCAGAACUGCCUUUUGAUACUGAAGAUCUUGAGUUUCGGGAGAGGUGAGUGGAACUGCGAGUGUAGAGGUGAAAUUCGUAGAUAUUCGCAAGAACACCAGUGGCGAAGGCGGCUCACUGGCCCGAUACUGACGCUGAGGCACGAAAGCGUGGGGAGCAAACAGGG
rnacentral:rRNA from 1 species